rnacentral:rRNA from 1 species
CAGCAGCCGCGGGAAAACAGAGGGUGCGAGCGUUAAUCGGAUUUACUGGGCGUAAAGCGUGCGUAGGCGGCUAAUUGAGUCGGAUGUGAAAUCCCCGAGCUUAACUUGGGAAUUGCAUUCGAUACUGGUUAGCUAGAGUGUGGGAGAGGAUGGUAGAAUUCCAGGUGUAGCGGUGAAAUGCGUAGAGAUCUGGAGGAAUACCGAUGGCGAAGGCAGCCAUCUGGCCUAACACUGACGCUGAGGUACGAAAGCAUGGGGAGCAAACAGGAUUAGAUACCCCUGUAGUCCCUGUCUCUUAUAC